ACGAACGCUGGCGGCGUGCUUAACGCAUGCAAGUCGAACGGAAAGGCCUGCUUUCCCUUGUGGAUUGCGGGUACUCGAGUGGCGAACGGGUGAGUAACACGUGAGUGAUCUGCCCCCAACUUGGGUAUAAGCCUGGGAAACUGGGUCUAAUUCCCGAUAGGACUGCAGGGUGGUGCCUGUGGUGGAAAACGAUUUUCUAGUGGUUGGGGAUGAGCUCGCGGCCUAUCAGCUUGUUGGUGGGGUAAUGGCCUACCAAGGCGGCGACGGGUAGCCGGCCUGAGAGGGUGGACGGCGACAUUGGGACUGAGAUACGGCCCAGACUCCUACGGGAGGCAGCAGUGGGGAAUAUUGGACAAUGGGCGGAAGCCUGAUGCAGCGACGCCGCGUGGGGGAUGACGGCCUUCGGGUUGUAAACUCCUUUCGACCGCGAGGAAGCCACCUGGUUGGAAGGGUGGUGACGGUAGUGGUAGAAGAAGCACCGGCUAACUACGUG
rnacentral:rRNA from 1 species